AGCAGUAGGGAAUCUUCCGCAAUGGACGAAAGUCUGACGGAGCAACGCCGCGUGAGUGAUGAAGGUUUUCGGAUCGUAAAACUCUGUUGUUAGGGAAGAACAAGUACCAGAGUAACUGCUGGUACCUUGACGGUACCUAACCAGAAAGCCACGGCUAACUACGUGCCAGCAGCCGCGGUAAUACGUAGGUGGCAAGCGUUGUCCGGAAUUAUUGGGCGUAAAGCGCGCGCAGGCGGUCCUUUAAGUCUGAUGUGAAAGCCCACGGCUCAACCGUGGAGGGUCAUUGGAAACUGGGGGACUUGAGUACAGAAGAGAGGAGUGGAAUUCCACGUGUAGCGGUGAAAUGCGUAGAGAUGUGGAGGAACACCAGUGGCGAAGGCGACUCUUUGGUCUGUAACUGACGCUGAGG
rnacentral:rRNA from 1 species